ACAGCCUUUCAAAACCCUCUCCUUAAGGCGUCCCUGAGGGCUAGUCCCUCUCAGCCAUGGAACCGAGAGAAAAAGAAAGGAAACCCUCCCCGUUCGACUCCGGUGAAGGCGAAGAUGGGCUCCGACACCGGUUUUCGUUGCGAACAGGCAUUUGAUGGGCGCCGACGGAUGGGACAGAGGCGGUGGUGGUAGAAGACCAAAGGUCUGAAGCAUGCAGCGCUUGGGAGACCAAAGGUCCGAAGAAAGGGGCAGCGUCUAGGGUUUCAGAAAAGUUGAAACCCUAGUUUGACUCAUUGUUGGGUUUGAGUUAUUUGGGCUUAGUCUUUUAGUUUGGGCCCCGGGUUGUAAUUGGUUUGGGCUGAAGGGUAUUGGGUUAGUUAGGCUGGUGGGUUAGUUUAAUUGGUUUGGGUUUUAUUUGGUUGUUGGGCCCGGGCAAAUUGGGCUUGUACAGCUGCCCCUCUUUGCUCGUUGUCGUGUAACGAGAACAGAGCAAAGACUAAGAAAGACCAAUUUUUCCCGGUCUCGUUGAGUCUUGACUUCUUGGUGCUUUUCUUCUUCAAGUAGCCCCAUUCUAAUCCACUGUGUCCUAUUGCUUCAAUCCACUACACUACGCUUCAGAGAGGUCUAACUUGAAGCUUCAAUCUUCUUUGCCACAACUUCAGAGGGACGAUGUUUGUGGUCUUAGUCUGCUCCACUGUAACUUCAGGGAGAUAAGACUGGAUGCGAUCUGCUCUACUAUUGCUUAGAGAGAUAAGAUCUACAAUCUUCAACUUACUCCACUGCUGCUCAGGGAGAUAGGAUUGAUUUCUUUUGUUUGCUCCGCUACUGCUUAAGGAGAUAAGACUUGAUGCGAUCUGCUCCACUACUGCUUAGGGAGAUAAGAUCUACAAUCUUCGACUUGCUCCACUACUGCUUAGGGAGAUAGGAUCUAAUAUCUUUGACCUGCUCCACUACUGCUUAGGGAGAUAGGACUGGUGGCUUAAAUCUGCUUCACUACUGCUUAGGAAGAUGAGAUUCGCCGUCUUCAAUCUGCUCCACUACUACUUAGGGAGAUAGGAUCUAAUAUCAUUGACCUGCUCCACUACUGCUUAGGGAGAUAGGACUGGUGGCUUAAAUCUGCUUCACUACUGCUUAGGAAGAUGAGAUUCACCGUCUUUGAUCUGCGCCACUACUGCUUAGGGAUAUAGGACUGGUGGCUUAAAUCUGCUUCACUACUGCUUAGGAAGAUGAGAUUCGCCGUCUUCGAUCUGCUCCACUACUGCUUAGGGAGAUAGGAUCUAAUAUCUUUGACCUGCUUCACUACUGCUUAGGGAGAUAGGACUGGUGGCUUAAAUCUGAUUCACUACUGCUUAGGAAGAUGAGAUUCGUCGUCUUUGAUCUGCUCCACUACUGCUUAGGGAUAUAGGAUCUAAUAUCUUUGACCUGCUCCACUACUGCUUAGGGAGAUAGGACUGGUUUCUUUUGUCUGCUCCGCUACUGCUUAGAGAGAUAAGACUUGAUGCGAUCUGCUCCACUACUGCUUAGGGAGAUAAGAUCUACAAUCUUCGACCUGCUCCACUACUGCUUAGGGAGAUAGGACUGGUGGCUUAAAUCUGCUUCACUACUGCUUAGGAAGAUAAGAUUCGCCAUCUUCGAUCUGCUCCACUGUAACCUCAGGGAGAUAAGAUCUGAAAUAUUCACUGAUCUGUUCUCUGGGGAACAUGACAUGUAUAAUGAACCUAAUUAUGCCUAAUGAUUAGGAUGGCAUGAUCAAAAUGAAUCAAAUGCUCCUAACUAGACAUGUGUGAAUGGUGUUUGCUUGAAUACAGAAUUUUAUUUAUUUAUU